GACGAACGCUGGCGGCGUGCUUAACACGUGCAAGUCGAACGAUGAAGCCUAGCUUGCUAGGUGGAUUAGUGGCGAACGGGUGAGUAAUACGUGAGUAACCUACCUUUAACUCUGGGAUAAGCCUGGGAAACUGGGUCUAAUACCGGAUACGACCAAUCUCCGCAUGGGGUGUUGGUGGAAAGCGUUAUGUAGUGGUUAUAGAUGGGCUCACGGCCUAUCAGCUUGUUGGUGAGGUAACGGCUCACCAAGGCGACGACGGGUAGCCGGCCUGAGAGGGUGACCGGCCACACUGGGACUGAGACACGGCCCAGACUCCUACGGGAGGCAGCAGUGGGGAAUAUUGCACAAUGGGCGCAAGCCUGAUGCAGCGACGCCGCGUGAGGGAUGACGGCCUUCGGGUUGUAAACCUCUGUUAGCAGGGAAGAAGAGAAAUUGACGGUACCUGCAGAGAAAGCGCCGGCUAACUACGUGCCAGCAGCCGCGGUAAUACGUAGGGCGCGAGCGUUGUCCGGAAUUAUUGGGCGUAAAGAGCUUGUAGGCGGUUUGUCGCGUCUGCUGUGAAAGGCCGGGGCUUAACCCCGUGUAUUGCAGUGGGUACGGGCAGACUAGAGUGCAGUAGGGGAGACUGGAACUCCUGGUGUAGCGGUGGAAUGCGCAGAUAUCAGGAAGAACACCGAUGGCGAAGGCAGGUCUCUGGGCUGUAACUGACGCUGAGAAGCGAAAGCAUGGGGAGCGAACAGG
rnacentral:rRNA from 1 species